rnacentral:rRNA from 1 species
CGCUUCGGGAGGGGCCUGCGGCCCAUCAGCUAGUUGGUAAGGUAAAAGCUUACCAAGGCGAAGGACGGGUAGGGGGCCUGAGAGGGUGGUCCCCCCACACGGGCACUGAGACACGGGCCCG